AUUUAAAUAGUUUAAGAAAAAUUCUAAUUUGUGGAAUUAGAGAUAUAGUAAAUAUUUUAAAUA
rnacentral:tRNA from 1 species